rnacentral:rRNA from 1 species
GUGUCAGCCGCCGCGGUAAUACGGAGGGUGCAAGCGUUAAUCGGAAUUACUGGGCGUAAAGCGCGCGUAGGUGGCUAAGUCAGCCAGGUGUGAAAGCCCCGGGCUCAACCUGGGAACGGCAUCUGGAACUGCUUGGCUAGAGUGCAGGAGAGGAAGGUAGAAUUCCCGGUGUAGCGGUGAAAUGCGUAGAGAUCGGGAGGAAUACCAGUGGCGAAGGCGGCCUUCUGGACUGACACUGACACUGAGGUGCGAAAGCGUGGGUAGCAAACAGGAUUAGAUACCCUGGUAGUCCACGCCGUAAACGAUGUCGACUAGCCGUUGGGAGCCUCGAGUUCUUAGUGGCGCAGUUAACGCAAUAAGUCGACCGCCUGGGGAGUACGGCCGCAAGGUUAAAACUUAAAUGAAUUGACGGGG